AUGGAGCUUUAGACACCAAAGAAGAUCCUGUCAAGUAACCCCCUAUAAGGGCCUGAACUAAUGGAAUCCUUCCCUAAUGUCUUUGGUUGGGGCGACCGCGGGGAAACAAAAAACCCCCACGUGGAAAGGGAGCACCCCCUCCUACAAUUAAGAGCCGCAGCUCUAAUUAACAGAAUAUCUGACCAAUAAGAUCCGGCAAUGCCGAUCAACGGACCG
rnacentral:rRNA from 1 species